rnacentral:tRNA from 1 species
AAUGGUUAAGGCGAUCCCCUGCUAAGGGAUUGUGCUCUGCACGCGAGAGUUCGAAUCUCUUCGGC